rnacentral:lncRNA from 1 species
CUCAAGGCCAGCCUGAAUUGCAUAGGGAAACCCUGUCUCACAAAGGCAAAAAAAAAAAAAAAAAAGAAAGAAAGAAAGAAAGAAAGUUGCAGGAGACAUGCGCAGAACUGUUCCCAAGGUCCUGCAAAUGGAACCAAUCAGAGAGAGCCAUCUUCAGUUGUUCUCGCGAGAACUCCAACAGGCGAUCAGCCUGAAGGUGGGGAGACACAAAGAUGGCAGCCAUGGAGCUGACACUGCUGUGGGCUUUUCUUGUAGUUCAUAGGGAGGAUCUCUUUUCUUGCCUUUAGUUGGCUCUAGGGCUCUGCAGAGUAUAUUUCUGUUCUCUUCUUACCUUUAACAAACGUGAAACCUCACUAAUUUUUGCACUUGUCUUGACCAAUUCUUUGUUCAGGACAGAAAAAGCCUAGAAACCUAGAAACCAGACUCCUUUCCUAAGGGUCGGAGGUGAAUGUAAUCACCUACCAGCUGCUAAGGGCCAUUGAAACCAGGCAGAGAUGUGAAUGCAGGUAGGUCCAUAGAUUAUGCAAAUGAUAGAUGAUGGACACACACACACACACACACACACACACACACAGUAUGAUACCUGUAUUUAGAGUUCAGCCAUCUAGUGAGCUGACAACUCAAGACCACCUUAUCUUUAUUGUUAUUAUUUUUUAACCUCACCUUUAGGCAUCUUCCUCUUCCACAAUCCACAGAUUGAUUAUAAAUUUCACAAUAUCUGAUGCCAGAUGCAGUGGCACAUUCCCGGAGACCAGCCUGGGCUACACAGUGAGUUCAAGACUCCUCUGAACGGCAUGGUCUUCCUCUUGGCCACAGCCUGCAGGGUCGUCUGCUGGGACCUCCCUGAAGAGCAAGUCCGGGCUGGGAAGCCACGGGGAGGUCCCCGGGUGACUCACGCUCCACAGACUCUGGCCUUUAAGAGGGAAAAAUCGCCCGUUUCUCACAGAUGCAGCGUGUCAGAGGCCCUGCUCCCCAGGGCAGUGCAGGGCGGCCACCACAAGGCCUGCACAGCUGGAAGGCGCCACCCUGGGCGCUUCUGCGGCAGAAAAGCAGCCGGAAGACACUGUAUUCAGCCAGCGGCUGGGACCCUGUUGUGCUUGGUGGAGCUGUGCUUUAUUUCUGUUGCCCUUCGGGAAUUCUGUUUAAGAGAAAUAUUUAUAGCUUUAUAAUAAAAAACACUGCUCCUUUUUUUUAAAAAUUCAGCACAAGCGUCUAAUCCAUCUCUCCUGUAACGCGAAGUUUGCCUGCUAACUAGACAGAUACAAAGGUUCAUUUGCAAGAGGCCCUAGUUCCCUGUUAGGUGUAGAGCAUUUAUUUAAUUUACUGUUAACAACCAGAUAUAAUAAAGCAUGUGUGAAAGAAAAC